rfam:Schistosoma mansoni, Puerto Rico, WGS project CABG01000000 data, contig: 0242
AUCCAGCUGACGAGUCCCAAAUAGGACGAAGUUGCGCGCGUCCUGGAU